rnacentral:rRNA from 1 species
GAUGAACGUUGGCGGCGUGCCUAAUACAUGCAAGUCGAACGAAGACUGUAGUAAUACUGUCUUAGUGGCGAACGGGUGAGUAACGCGUGGGUGACCUGCCCCGAAGUGUGGGAUAACAGUCCGAAAGGAUUGCUAAUACUGCAUAAUAUCCAAGAGAUUAGAUGCUUUUGGAUUAAAGGAGUAAUUCGCUUCGGGAGGGGCCCGCGUCCCAUCAGCUAGUUGGUAAGGUAAUGGCUUACCAAGGCGAUGACGGGUAGGGGACCUGAGAGGGUGGCCCCCCACAAUGGAACUGAAACACGGUCCAUACACCUACGGGUGGCAGCAGUAGGGAAUAUUAGUAAUGGGCGAAAGCCUGAACUAGCAACGCCGCGUGUGCGAAGAAGGCCUUCGGGUCGUAAAGCGACUUUUUGAGUAGGAUGAGGAAGGACGGUAACUCUCAGAAUAAGUCUCGGCUAACUACGUG